rnacentral:rRNA from 1 species
AUGCCCAUAGCAGAUAGUUCUCCGCCGCCAACCAGCCCUUCGCACGUCCGAUCCACCCCUUCGCCCACGCGGGACGACUCCUGCCCUCUAGGGUUUCCUACGCCACCGCCGCCGCCGGGGAACUCCUCGACCAGCCCACCCUCCUGCCGCUCCGCCCCCUUCCCUUCCCAUCGCCGCAGUCGCCCCCUCCAUCUCCUGCCGGAGCCACUCCCCUGCCGCGAACAUCCUGCUCGCGUUGUACAUGACCGGUACGGCGGCCCUGACGGGGAGCGAGAACCGCCACGGGAACGCGGUGGUGAGCCCCUCGGUGAAGACCUGCGCGGAGAGCAGGAACGCGUGCGGGGCCAUGGCGGCGAUCCCCGUGGUGUCCCCGGACCGGAGGCCGUCGAGGAUGUACAGCGCCGGGAGCACGGGGCCGACGAGGAACCCACCCACGGUGUGCGAGGGGUCUCUUCCCGUACGUCAAGGCAUCCCGCCUCACGUUUCCUCUUUCGGCAUCACGGGCCGCCGCCGCACUCCCUCCCCCGGCCGCCCCGCGGGCUUCUAUCUCUCCCAGCUCCGCUGCCGCGCCCCGUCUUCCAUCUCUACAUGAAUCGCUGCUGUGGAAGCCAUGCCCCACCGCGCCACCCGGCGGCCAUCCGGGCACGCCGUGUCCGGGAUGAUGGAGUUGAGUCGGCCAGGUCCCUGUUCCCGUCGGCAUCUUCUGCAUCGGGACCCGUGGGGCCAAGCCGCGCGCUGCUCAUCUGCGUCGAUGGCGUCGGCGUGGCCUUCCCCUGCCAAGACCGGCGGCUCCUUGGCUGGAUCCUCUCCUCUCCUCUCCUCUCUUCCACCUCUCGUUGUCGGGUAGAGCUAGGAUAUGUCUUUCUUGAACUGUGUGGACAUGCUCAUGGCGGAGGUGCUCUGUUUAUGCUGGUUACUGUGUUGGAAUCUACCAAUCCUUCUGAUCAUUGUGUUUUUCUGGGCCUGGAGGUCUACGCCAAACCCCAGGGCAGGGUGGCCAAGAUUGAUGAGUUGAAGGCGAGAAAAAACUACUACACUACCCAACAACUUAUACAGAGAUAUGGUCUUGACCCUACUCAAGCUCGUCCACACCAAUGUUACGGUAGCUGCUUCUGCGAGUCUCUUGUCAUCUUCUUCGCCGCCGGCUCGGUGGGGAGGCCGAGGGCAAAGUGCAGCAGGAGGUGCAUCGGUUUGAAUGUAUGUGUAGCCGGUAAGGGCUGGUUCGUUAUCAUCUCAAAGGCUGAAAGAUCCGUUGCUGCAGGUCACCACAUCCGCUUCCCACAGCUGUGGACGACGAUAAGGAGGUGGUGGGUGACACGGGCAAAGAGUGCUUGGAGCACUGGAUGUGGUGGUAAUAAAACUAAAAAGGCGGGACCGUGGGGAGGAAAAGACCAGAAAGGAGAAGUGGCGUCUAUACCAACUUCUCCUUUAAUAAUAGAGAUGCUAGUAAAGAACACUAGAAAGAAGGGAGGUGACUAUAUCAACUCCCCUUUAAUAAUAGAGAUGAUAGUAAAGAACACUAGAAAGAAGGGAGGUGACUAUACCAACUCCCCUUUAAUAAUUGAGAUGCUUGUAAAGAAGCUUGCUAGAUACUCGACCACUAAAGUGCUCCUGUUCUUCUUCCUCCUCCUUUCCGCGCCCGGCGCCCCUGCCUCGACGACACCGGCCUUGCUGGACGGUUCUCCACCGCAUUCCUCGUCUCCUGUUGCUGAACUACGGCACGCGCGCCACCCAUCUCCACUGGCCGGCGCGCCUCCGCAUGGCUGCCAUCGUUGCCUCUCCGGCGGCUUCGACGCCGUGUCCAGCCGGCUUGGACACGAAGUGCUUCUCCCUGUUGAAAGGCGUGGCGUGGUGUCCCAGACGCUGCGGGAGCUCCUCCCGUCGGAGACGCCUGUGGUGUGCGACUCUCUCCUGCCUUGCCUUGGGUGGCGCGGGCGGCCAGCGUGCCCGUACGUCGCGGCGUCCUUUUUGGCAGUCGUGUGCAGUCGGGGCGAGGCGGGUGGCACUGGUGGUGGUAGAGUAGUGGACGGGCAGGAGGUGCUCGCGAGGGAGCGCUGGGCGUGGUGUGGACGACGAGCUCCUCACAAGAGGAGGAUGUUUCCUUCGAAAAGUGGAGGCAAGAAAUUGCACAGUCGAAGAAACAAUGAACACUGGACACAUGAAGAAGUGAAGAAGCUGAUUAAGGGUGUCAGGAGAUAUGGUGAAGGGAUAAGUGGAGAAACCUUCGGAAAGCUUGUGGAGUCCCGUGCGGCUCCAAAAGGAAGGUCAUAUUCAUUAUCUUAUUUUCCAUAUAGUUACCCCAUGGCCCAUGAGAAGGCACAAAAGACUAUGUUCCGGCCCCUAGAUUCAAAGUUGAUCAAACAGAUCCGAAGGUUAGCUGAGAAACACAAUGUGAAAUGA